UACGUAGGGUGCGAGCGUUGUCCGGAAUUACUGGGCGUAAAGCGCACGUAGGCGGAUCAUUUAGUCAGGGGUGAAAUCCCGGGGCUCAACCUCGGAACUGCCUUUGAUACUGAUGGUCUCGAGUCCGAUAGAGGUGAGUGGAAUUCCUAGUGUAGAGGUGAAAUUCGUAGAUAUUAGGAAGAACACCAGUGGCGAAGGCGGCUCACUGGAUCGGUACUGACGCUGAGGUGCGAAAGCGUGGGGAGCGAACGAGGAAUUAUAGACCC
rnacentral:rRNA from 1 species